AGUGAACGCUGGCGGUAGGCCUAACACAUGCAAGUCGAACGGCAGCACAGUAAGAGCUUGCUCUUACGGGUGGCGAGUGGCGGACGGGUGAGGAAUACAUCGGAAUCUACUUUUUCGUGGGGGAUAACGUAGGGAAACUUACGCUAAUACCGCAUACGACCUACGGGUGAAAGCAGGGGAUCUUCGGACCUUGCGCGAUUGAAUGAGCCGAUGUCGGAUUAGCUAGUUGGCGGGGUAAAGGCCCACCAAGGCGACGAUCCGUAGCUGGUCUGAGAGGAUGAUCAGCCACACUGGAACUGAGACACGGUCCAGACUCCUACGGGAGGCAGCAGUGGGGAAUAGUGGACAAUGGGCGGAAGCCUGAUCCAGCCAUACCGCGUGGGUGAAGAAGGCCUUCGGGUUGUAAAGCCCUUUUGUUGGGAAAGAAAAGCAGCAGGUUAAUACCCCGCUGUUCUGACGGUACCCAAAGAAUAAGCACCGGCUAACUUCGUG
rnacentral:rRNA from 1 species